GGCAGCACAUAUACUAAAAUUGGAACGAUACAGAGAAGAUUAGCAUGGCCCCUGCACAAGGAUGACACGCAAAUUCGUGAAGUGUUCCAUAUUUUA
rnacentral:snRNA from 1 species